rnacentral:rRNA from 1 species
UACGUAGGUGACCAGCGUUGUCCGGAUUUACUGGGCGUAAAGAGCGCGCAGGCGGUCGUUCAAGUCGGGUGUGAAAGCCCCCGGCUCAACUGGGGAGGGUCACUCGAUACUGAUCGACUGGAAGGCAGGAGAGGGAAGCGGAAUUCCCGGUGUAGUGGUGAAAUGCGUAGAUAUCGGGAGGAACACCAGUGGCGAAGGCGGCUUCCUGGCCUGUUCUUGACGCUGAGGCGCGAAAGCUAGGGGAGCAAACGGG